CGCCUACGGGGGGCAGCAGUGAGGAAUAUUGGUCAAUGGGCGAGAGCCUGAACCAGCCAAGUCGCGUGAGGGAAGACGGUCCUAUGGAUUGUAAACCUCUUUUGCCGGGGAGCAAAAAGUGGUACGUGUACCGCAUCGAGAGUACCCGGAGAAAAAGCAUCGGCUAACUCCGUGCCAGCAGCCGCGGUAAUACGAAGGGUGCGAGCGUUGUUCGGAAUUACUGGGCGUAAAGGGAGUGUAGGCGGAUAUGUAAGAUAGCGGUGAAAUGCCGGGGCUCAACCCCGGAACUGCCAUUAUGACUAUGU
rnacentral:rRNA from 1 species